rnacentral:rRNA from 1 species
ACAGUCACACAUUAGAUACCCCGUAGUCCCAGCUGUAAACUAUGUGCGUUAGGUGUGUCAGUGACCACGUGUCACUGAGGUGCCGGAGAGAAGUUGUUAAGCCUGCUGCUUGGGGAGUACGUCCGCAAGGAUGAAACUUAAAGGAAUUGGCGGGGGAGCACCGCAACGGGAGGAGCGUGCGGUUCAAUUGGAUUCAACGCCGGACAACUCACCAGGAGCGACGGUUACAUGAAGGCCAGGCUGAUGACCUUGCCUGAUUUUCCG